rnacentral:lncRNA from 1 species
CCCCUCAGCCUCCUCCGCGCGGUUACCCCUGUACCCGCCGCCAUCCGUCCUGGCGCUCCGGAUGAGUCAAUGAGGGGCAGGGCCCGAGGAGUGGUCUUCCCAAGAACCCCUGGUGGCCUCCCAAGGCCGGUGCUGUGUACCUCCUCCCCGACAAAAGGGGAAACUGAGGCCCCGAGGGGAGUGGGAAGAGCCGGCUGGACGUCAGGCCCAGCCGCUGGUGCAGUGGUCCGUCCCCUCCGCCGGGGUGGGCCCCUCGGGUUUCGCGUGUCCUCGGGAAAGAGACUGGCGGGCCUCGUGGGCUGUGCGGCUAUCCUGGAGACAGAUGACAGCUCUCCCUUGGAUGGCUUUGCUGGUUCCGCACCAGCCAGCGCCCCUAUUUUUCCUGCAGCACCCUGAUCUGCACUCCCUGAGGGGCUCCCACUGUCCGCGGUGUGAGGAUGUCCCUGGAUAUUGGUCUUCUGUGACUUUCUUGAUGGGGGCAGAUGAGAUCUUUGUACUGCAUUAAGUGGAUAGCGCUCAGGUCCUUUGGGCUUGGCGCUUUGGCAAUCUCCAGGCAGCUCACUUUGGCAUCUGUUCCUGGAUCCCCUUUGCUCUUUUCUGCGCCUGCAUUCAUAGUCCACUGUGUGCAGAGGCAUGGGAGUUGUCAUGUCGAGAACAUGCUAGACCUCAGUGUCCUUGAGGGAUGCCGCCUUGGGUCUGGAAAUUGUUAGAGGAAACCCCAAGAGGUGCAGGCACUGAGCCUCUCAGGACAAUGACCUGGGGUCCCAGCUCCCCUGGAGGGGCCUCCUCAUGAUUGUUUGGGGCUUGAUCACAGACCAAGAGUGACGAGUGAUGUCACCCUGUGACUCAUGGCCGGACCUUCUUGCCCCUAUUGUCUCAGCACAACAUUAUUUGACUUUUCCCUCAGCGUGGGUGGGCAGAGGAAAAGCCCUGUGGCUCUGGGGACUUGGGAUCCGGAGUUGAAGACCCUUCAGCUGGCUCUGCCCUGCCAGUGCCACAGAGUGCCAUGGCCCAGGAAGACAGGUUUUCUUCCAUCUAGGCCAGGCCAUCCAGUGGCCAUCCUCCGUGUCCUCCCGCCUCCUCCUGGUGUGACUUCUGAAAACCAAGAAUUUGUUCCUGUUGACUUUUUCUGUGCUAUGGACCAUUGUCCUCUCACCCACUCAAUAAAUCUUGAAACAUGC